GAUGAACGCUGGCGGCGUGCCUAAUACAUGCAAGUCGAGCGAACAGACGAGGAGCUUGCUCCUCUGACGUUAGCGGCGGACGGGUGAGUAACACGUGGAUAACCUACCUAUAAGACUGGGAUAACUUCGGGAAACCGGAGCUAAUACCGGAUAAUAUAUUGAACCGCAUGGUUCAAUAGUGAAAGACGGUUUUGCUGUCACUUAUAGAUGGAUCCGCGCCGCAUUAGCUAGUUGGUAAGGUAACGGCUUACCAAGGCAACGAUGCGUAGCCGACCUGAGAGGGUGAUCGGCCACACUGGAACUGCGGCACGGUCCAGACUCCUACGGGAGGCAGCAGUAGGGAAUCUUCCGCGAUGGGCGAAAGCCUGACGGAGCAACGCCGCGUGAGUGAUGAAGGUCUUCGGAUCGUAAAACUCUGUUAUUAGGGAAGAACAAAUGUGUAAGUAACUAUGCACGUCUUGACGGUACCUAAUCAGAAAGCCACGGCUAACUACGUG
rnacentral:rRNA from 1 species